GGGAUUUCCUGAGCCAAGGUUGCACAACAACUUGUUUCGUUCCACAAUCUGGCCACCUGACCGCCAUAAACUCGAAAUGUGGUUCUAUGACAAGGAACUGCUGCGACAGCAAAACCACUUUAUAGGUCGAAAAUAAUCAUCAAUGUCAAGCAGUCCUGCUAUUCUCAACUCUCUAUGAAAUUACAAUGAUUGAGCAAAUAGUUGCGCGUAUGAGGAAUGAUAAAUGAUUUGCGGUUAAAUUCACCCGGUUAGAAGAAGAGACAUCCCGAUCUGAUAUUCGCGCAGGGCAAGAAAACUGUAUGCUGAGAACUAGCAACACAUAAUUAAUAAUGCAUGGCCCACUGAAAACUUAGUUCUUUAUGUCCGGGGAACCAAGGUAGACAGUUAGUUGUCCCUGACCCGUAACCUUGGAGGGCACUGAACACCGAACACCAUCAGUCGCAGCCCGAGGCAAGUUUCCCAGCUUGGCAAUUUCCUGCGAACGUUACUAGGAAUUAUCGAUUUCCACCAAAGUUUAUUGGAUGGCAAACCGGCGGGCAAAAUCAAUGAUCAAAAUAUGAACAUUGCCACUUUAAACAUGAAUGGGAAAUUCAUAUCAUCAUCGGCUGCCCAGUGCGUACGUUGGCGCAAACGGUCCGGCUCUCGGCAUUUCAUCGCUCAAGCACAAUUCUGAGGCAUGGCAAUGAUAAAAAAUAGAAUAUUGGGCGCAAACUCAAACGGUCUUUAUAUUACUUAAAAGUCCAUACA
rnacentral:sRNA from 2 species